rnacentral:rRNA from 1 species
UUUUUUUAGAAAUAAAUUUAAUUUACAGAUUUUUGAUUUUUUGGCUAUUUUUUUAGUUGAAAAAUUUAAUAAUUUGAAUAUUUUAAGGGAUAAGCUUUAAAAUAAAUUAUUAAAAAUUAAAAUUAUAAUAUAAAAUGUAUGCUUAGAAUUAGCAAUCAUUGUAGAGUUUGUUAUAAAUUAUUUUAUGAUUUAUAUUAUUUAUUAUAUUUUAAUUUGUUUAUAAAAAUUUUUUUAUUAAUAGUUUAUAAAAAGGAAUAAUGAUAGAAUUAGUAUAUUUUUAUGUUUUAAUAAUUUUAUGUGAUAAGUUUAUGUAAAGAACUCGGCAAAAAUUUUACCCGCCUGUUUAACAAAAACAUGUCUUUUUGAGUUAUUUUUAAAGUCUGACCUGCCCACUGAAAUUUUUAAAUGGCCGCAGUAUUCUAACUGUGCAAAGGUAGCAUAAUCAUUAGUCUUUUAAUUGAA